rnacentral:rRNA from 1 species
UACGGGGGGGGCAAGCGUUGUUCGGAAUUACUGGGCGUAAAGGGUUUGUAGGUGGCUUGCUAAGUCAGACGUGAAAUCCCUCAGCUUAACUGGGGAACUGCGUCUGAGACUGGCAAGCUUGAGUGCAGGAGAGGAACGCGGAAUUCCUGGUGUAGCGGUGAAAUGCGUAGAUAUCAGGAGGAACACCUGCGGUGUAGACGGCUUACUGGACCGUAACUGACGCUGAGGCACGAAAGCGUGGGUAGCAAACAGG